rnacentral:rRNA from 1 species
ACGAAUGCUGGCGGCGUGCUUAACACAUGCAAGUCGAACGGAAAGGCCCUGCUUUUGUGGGGUGCUCGAGUGGCGAACGGGUGAGUAACACGUGAGUAACCUGCCCUUGACUUUGGGAUAACUUCAGGAAACUGGGGCUAAUACCGGAUAGGAGCUCCUGCUGCAUGGUGGGGGUUGGAAAGUUUCGGCGGUUGGGGAUGGACUCGCGGCUUAUCAGCUUGUUGGUGGGGUAGUGGCUUACCAAGGCUUUGACGGGUAGCCGGCCUGAGAGGGUGACCGGCCACAUUGGGCCUGAGAUACGGCCCAGACUCCUACGGGAGGCAGCAGUGGGGAAUAUUGCACAAUGGGCGGAAGCCUGAUGCAGCAACGCCGCGUGCGGGAUGACGGCCUUCGGGUUGUAAACCGCUUUCGCCUGUGACGAAGCGUGAGUGACGGUAAUGGGUAAAGAAGCACCGGCUAACUACGUG